AACUCUCAACCUCUGACUUUCUUAAUCGUCGGUCAGCGGCUUGGAUGUGGGCGCUGCCGGUCUUAAUUGAUCGGCUCGCCUGAAAAACAUUAGCGAAUCCCUUCUGUAAUCGGUUCCACUCGACGUGAUAAGUAUUUCGUCGAGGACAUCUUUAUUGAUGGCCGAGAUAAAGCUGGUUUAAGAUCUGCUUCUAACUCUUUCGUUGCCUUCUGGUAAAGAAAACCCCUCAUG
rnacentral:misc_RNA from 2 species